rnacentral:rRNA from 1 species
AGAGUUUGAUCCUGGCUCAGAACGAACGCUGGCGGCAGGCCUAACACAUGCAAGUCGAGCGCAUCCUUCGGGAUGAGCGGCGGACGGGUUAGUAACGCGUGGGAAUAUGCCCUUCUCUAAGGAAUAGCCACUGGAAACGGUGAGUAAUACCUUAUACGCCCUUCGGGGGAAAGAUUUAUCGGAGAAGGAUUAGCCCGCGUUAGAUUAGAUAGUUGGUGGGGUAACGGCCUACCAAGUCGACGAUCUAUAGCUGGUUUGAGAGGAUGAUCAGCAACACUGGGACUGAGACACGGCCCAGACUCCUACGGGAGGCAGCAGUGGGGAAUCUUAGACAAUGGGCGCAAGCCUGAUCUAGCCAUGCCGCGUGAGUGAUGAAGGCCUUAGGGUCGUAAAGCUCUUUCGCCAGAGAUGAUAAUGACAGUAUCUGGUAAAGNANCCC